rnacentral:miRNA from 1 species
GGGCUCCUCAGAUGUUCAUG